rnacentral:rRNA from 1 species
UACGGAGGGUGCAAGCGUUGCUCGGAAUUAUUGGGCGUAAAGGGCAGGUAGGUGGUCUCAUUUGUCUGGGGUGAAAGCCUUGAGCUUAACUCAAGAAGUGCCCCAGAAACGGUGAGACUAGAGUCUUGGAGAGGGUCGUGGAAUUCCCGGUGUAGCGGUGAAAUGCGUAGAGAUCGGGAGGAACACCAGAGGCGAAGGCGGCGACCUGGACAAGUACUGACACUCAACUGCGAAAGCGUGGGGAGCAAACAGG